ensembl:lncRNA
CUUAUUUUCAUUCUGCGACAAAGUUGCUUUCUUCCUAAUUAAGACAGUGGAAAAUUUUACUUUCUAUUCAUUAUUGCAAGUAGAGGGCAUUAAAAUAGCUGGUUGUUUAGAACCUUCUAUGUGAAGAGUUUUGGCCCUGAGUAGUCUGCCAAAUAAGAAGCAAAAGCAAGAGAGCAAUUAAUGGCAGAUUCUGCAAAUUGAAUGACUUCCAUCUUUGGCACAGAGACGCUGCAUAAGGGAACUCUAGCACUGUGUGUGUAGUGCUUUGAAGUCUGAUGUCCAUUACCAUUUUUACCAGUAACAUUCAUCCAGUUGUGCAGGGAGCUAAAAGGAAAGGACAACUGAAAGGACUGGAGCCAAACAUCUUCAAAGGAAGGAAACAUGAACUGGGGAUUUCCUAGGAAUGAGUGAGAGAUCCUAAGAACAUCUCCUAGAAUUUCCA